rnacentral:rRNA from 1 species
CCUACGGGAGGCAGCAGUAGGGAAUUUUCGGCAAUGGGGGGAACCCUGACCGAGCAACGCCGCGUGAACGAAGAAGUUAUUCGUAAUGUAAAGUUCUUUUAACAGGGAAGAAAGAGAAAUUUGACGGUACCUGAAGAAUAAGCUCCGGCUAACUACGUGCCAACAGCCGCGGUAAUACGUAGGGAGCGAGCGGUAUCCGGAAUUAUUGGGCGAAAAGGGUGCGUAGAUGGCAUAGUAAGUCUUUUGUAAAAAUGCUGGGCUCAACCCAGUAGGGCAAAAGAUACUGCAAAGCUAGAGUAUGACAGAGGCAAGUGGAACUACAUGUGUAGCGGUAAAAUGCGUAAAUAUAUGUAAGAACACCAGUGGCGAAGGCGGCAUGCUGGGUCGAUACUGACAUUGAGGCACGAAAGCGUGGGGAGCAAACAGGAUUAGAUACCCGAGUAGUC